AGAGCGAACGCUGGCGGCAGGCCUAACACAUGCAAGUCGAGCGCGUGUAGCAAUACACGAGCGGCAGACGGGAGAGUAACACGUGGGAACGCGCCCUUCGGUUCGGAAUAACUCAGGGAAACUUGAGCUAAUACCGGAUACGCCCUUACGGGGAAAGAUUUAUUGCCGAAGGAACGGCCCGCGUCCGAUUAGCUAGUUGGUGAGGUAACGGCUCACCAAGGCGACGAUCGGUAGCUGGUCUGAGAGGAUGACCAGCCUCACUGGGACUGAGACACGGCCCAGACUCCUACGGGAGGCAGCAGUGGGGAAUAUUGGACAAUGGGCGCAAGCCUGAUCCAGCCAUGCCGCGUGGAUGAUGAAGGCCUUAGGGUUGUAAAGUCCGUUUUAACGGGGAAGUAUAAUGACGGUACCCGUAGAAUAAGCCCCGGCUAACUUCGUGCCAGCAGCCGC
rnacentral:rRNA from 1 species